rnacentral:rRNA from 1 species
UAUAUGAGGAUAUAUAUAGUUUGGCCUGCUCACUGAAUUAAUUAAAGAGCCGCAGUAUUCUGACUGUGCGAAGGUAGCAUAAUAGAUUGUCUUUUAAAUGGAGGCUUGAAUGAAUGGUUGGACAAAGUAUCAUCUGUUUCUUUAAUAAUAAUUGAAUUUUACUUUUAAGUGAAAAGGCUUAAAUAAUUUAAAAAGACGAUAAGACCCUAUAAAUUUUUAUAAAAAAUAUAUUUUUAGUUUAAGUUUAUAAGUUUAUAAGACAUAAAUUAUAGUUUUAUUGUGCUGGGGUGGCGUAGAUAUAUAAUAUAACUGUUUAUGAAUUAAAAUCAAUAAUAAUUGAUUAUUAUGAUUGAUCCUUUAAGAGAUUAAAAGAUUAAAAUACUUUAGGGAUAACAGCGUUAUUUUUUCUAAGAGUUCUUAUUGAAGAAAAAGUUUGCGACCUCGAUGUUGAAUUAAAGUUUCUUUGUGGUGUAGCAGCUAUAUAAGAGAGUCUGUUCGACUUUUAAUACUUUACGUGAUCUGA